GAGCUCAUUUUCCACCUUCAACAUUACAAGAAAACCUAGCUAAAGAGAGAGAAGGUCAGGGCCGCCACUGUUCACGGCGGCUACUGUUCACGCCGCCACUGUUCACGGGCACUGUUCACGGCCAGUCCAUUUUUGCCCCCUUCUACACAAUUAAUUGGAGAGAUUUGAAGAUCAAGAGGAGGAAAAAGAUGGAGCUCAUGGUAGCCAUGGCAACUCACGGCCAUGGCUUUCUUGAAGAUAUUUCAUGGUGAAAAAUUAGAGCUUGUCUCUAAGGCCUUGGGGAGCCCGAGGCGUAGGUUGGGAUUAACUUUAGUUGGGCAAACUUGGAGCGCGUACGAGGUAUGUAAAGCAAUCUUUCUUUCUUUUGGCAUGCCUUAGUUUUGGAUAGGCUAGAUUACGAGCCUUUAGGAAAAUCCUAUGAUUCGAAAUCCGAGCAUGAUAUGAUCUAUAUAUAUUCCUUGGCACUCUUAUGUUUGAUUUGAUAAAAGUAUGAACCAUUACGUCUUUGAAAUAAUCGCUUUCCGAACUUUGCAUAAAAAGGUUUCACUUUAAAGAAUUUCGUAAUUUGUGAACGCCAUAUCUUUCACAGAAAGGCUCGGAUUGCUUCAAUAUUUUUGUAGAAGUUUAUAUGGCAUAUAAUGAGUAUAUUUUCCAUAGGCGGGCCCGACUCGGGUCAAUACCCAUCUGUGGGUCCCGCGACUUUCCUUUAUGUAAUUCGGACGACUUUUGAAAGAAUUUGGUAUGAUUAUCAUUUCGAAUUUCAAGUAUGGUCAUUUAUUUAUAUUUGAGUCUAUGAUAAUGAUUUUAUGCAUAUGGUUACUCAUGACUCUGCUCGUGCGUUCUGUUAUAUCUUUCGCCGGUUCCCGGGCCGGUUUUGUUAUCGUGCGCACUUUGAUAUACUCCGGAGUUAUGCUGUGUUUAUGGUUCACCGAGCUACUCGCAAAAGAGGGUCGGGUUUCACAUAUAUUUGGUGUUAUGCUGUGUAUGGCGUUAUGUUGUGAUGUGAUAUGUGACGGGGAUACGGAGAUUUGAAACAUUCUGGUGUUAUGCUGUGUUAUGGCGCCAUCGACGGGCGGGCGACCAUAUUCUUCUGUACCUUAUGCAUGACUUAUAUUUUGAAAGUAAACAUUUUGACAUGUUGGAUUUAUACUUAUGUUCUGUACUACUAUUUCGUUUAUGCCUCAGAUUUGUUUCUGUAUUUUCUGCUUUGCAUACUCAGUACAUAUUUCGUACUGACCUCCUUUCUUCGGGGGGCUGUGUUUCAUGCCCGCAGGUACAGACGCACAGUUUGGUGAUUCACCAGUUUAGGACAUCCCCUUCUGCUGUUUGGAGUGCUCUUCUCAUUUUAGAGCAUAUAUGUUGGUAUAUAUAUUUGUUCGCCGAGUAUGCAUAUAUAUUUGUUCAGGGGUACGGCGGGGCCCUGUUCUGCCAUAUGUUUCUGUUGGUCUGUUUAGAGGUCUGUAGACGUAUUUGUGGGUGUGUGUGCCUACUUCUGUUCAGAUGUGUUUGUAUGAUCCUAUUCGCUAUGGCAGCCUUGUCGGCGUGCAUUUGUAUAUGUUUUGGGCCGUUGUGCCAUUUGAUAGCCUUGUCGGCUUUUGAUACAUUUGAUAGCCUUGUCGGCUUUUGAUACAUUCGAUAGCCUUGCCGGCUUUUUGAGAUAUGUGCAUAUGUUCGGCGAUGUAUAUUCCGCCGCCUCUUUUGAUUCUGAUAUGAUGUUUUGUACGCGCAAUCGCGCAAGAUAAUAUUUGUUCCCAACUCUGUUUAAAAAUGAUGGAUAUGAAAUCCGUGUUAAGCUU